UAGCCAAGGAGGAGUUCACUGCAGCUCCCCUCAGGCAUCUUCCAGGCUCUUCAGCCUGUAAAAGCUGUCCUGCAGGUCAGCAAAGAGGAGGUGGUGGCUACUGGAUACCCAGCACACGGCCUGGCAGAGCACUCCAGUGCAUGCCUUCCUUCCCUGCCUGGUAACAGAUCUCCCUGGUCUUUGUCAACAGCAGCACAAACAAGUCGCCUUUUCUGCAACGUCCAGGACUUCCAUGAAUGCUGCAGAUGAAUCUUGUGGCUGUACUUGACCCACUGCUCUGUGACAGUGUUUGAGCUGUCAGAGCUCUGAGCAAGACCCUUCAGUCAACACAUAGUAACCCAAAUCAUCUUCAGCGUGUAGGAAUGCAGCAUGCAAGAAACAGAAUCUGCAAGGAGUACAGGACAUAGUAACAUCAUUCUUCUCUCCACAAAUGAACUCCAUGCAUCUUGUUUUUUGGAUAAGGAUGGGAACUAAAGGGGACUGCACACAGUUACUAGGACAUUUCAUUUUUUUAAAAAUAAGCUGUUCCUCAUUAGAGUGAAGUCAGGUCUUUCAUGUGCCGAAUCUGAAACUUCAAAAACAUGUUUGAUCAGUAAUUAUUCCAAAAUGCUAAGAAAAAUUCCAGAAACUAGUACAUAUAAUUUGGAUUAUAGUCUUCAUUAGAGUUUUCUAUGACAUGUAUUUGUCAGCCAUGAUUAUAAAAUUUGAAAAAGACUAUGGAGAAUUGAUAACUGAGCACAUCUCCCACCAGCAUAAUUGCAUAAAUAUAUCACAACAUACUUAUUUAUCAUGUCUAUUUAUUUUUUUUGGUUUUGUGUGUCACUUUUGAGCAGGAUGACCUAACAAUCCAUCAAGAAUACUAAAGUCUAUAACUUAAUAGUUUGAAAUUGAUUGUGGUACUGAUUUAAUAUUUGAAGAAGGAGGAUAAGACAGUAAACAAUGUGGGCAGACUUCAGCUCAUUUUCAGAGAGAAGCUUUAAUGUAGUUUUGUGCCAAAAUGAGCCACAGAUGUAAAUGCACUCAUGCAUUUUAGAUAAAGGAAAGUAUUAUUCAAACUGAGGGGAGUAAAAUCAAUUAUAGGUUAUAUGUUCCUUAGCAAACAGUUCUAUCAUUUCCAAUUCAGUCUCCAAUAAAGUAAUUCCUAGGAUAACCUCUCGCUGGCUGAAGGCAGAUGGAAAUACUUUAGUCUUUUGACAAAAAAAACCCCAACUAGUUCACAGCAGAGUCUCCUGCAGUGUUUUGUAAAGGGGUGGAUUUUGCUAAUGCAGUAUUGGUUCCACAGAAAAAUUUCCACCUUCCAAUACUUAGAGAGAAAAUCUGUCCUUUUUGGCUCAAAAGAAAAAAUGCCUUUGACAUGAGAGUCAGAUUGCAUUUACAUAAUCAGACAGUUUUGUAUGAAGUAUUCAAAACCAGAAUAACGUGACAAAUUACAGCUUUGCUGAUUCUCCUGGAGUUUCAAAAUUACAUAAUUAAAUGUUUAUCUUGUUCCAUGUGGCCUGUUAGCAAACAGAUUUCCAUUGGAUGUCCAACCUUGUAUUUCCCCAGAAAUAAAUAGUUUUUUAGCAUUAG